CCACACUAUAAUGAAGAUGUGGAAGAGUCAGUAUUCAAGUGAGAUCUUCUGACUCAAAAUUGAAGGCUGCCUAUUGUACAAUGUACCUCCUAAAUACAGAUUCAUCAUCUAGAAAGAAUUGGGAUACUCCAUGAGGGAGUCCUGCCUCUCUGCCUAAGCUGUCUGUUGAUGAUCAUGGCCUGGACGAAGUUUCCAAAGAUUCCUUUGAGCUUCAAGACGAAAAUUCUCAAAAUCUUCCAGCAGGGGCCUCUCUUCUGUUAUCAAUGGUAUUCUGAUCAUUGAUAUCUUGGGAAAAUUUCCAGACAAGUCCUGCUAGAGGCCCCAGACAGGUUUUCUUCAAUGGCAAGAAGGCUUAAGAGAUUAAAUAAUAAGAAAAGGACUCUUUAAACACCAGGGCUCCAUUUGGAGUUCUCUUGAAAACUCUUCAGCUCUGGAGAACUGCAUUGGAAGGCCAUCCACUGAGCAUGUCAGGAAGGAUUGAAGCAUUGUUGAGAAACUGUGAACAACUCACUGUAAUAUGAAAUGAAUGCAUUCUGGAAAUUAAGACCUACAUUAUAUUUCAAAAGGAAUAAAAAAUGUCCCUAGGCUAAACUAAGUGAAAAU
rnacentral:lncRNA from 1 species